rnacentral:rRNA from 1 species
UGCAAGUCGAGCGGACAGAUGGGAGCUUGCUCCCUGAUGUUAGCGGCGGACGGGUGAGUAACACGUGGGUAACCUGCCUGUAAGACUGGGAUAACUCCGGGAAACCGGGGCUAAUACCGGAUGGUUGUUUGAACCGCAUGGUUCAAACAUAAAAGGUGGCUUCGGCUACCACUUACAGAUGGACCCGCGGCGCAUUAGCUAGUUGGUGAGGUAACGGCUCACCAAGGCAACGAUGCGUAGCCGACCUGAGAGGGUGAUCGGCCACACUGGGACUGAGACACGGCCCAGACUCCUACGGGAGGCAGCAGUAGGGAAUCUUCCGCAAUGGACGAAAGUCUGACGGAGCAACGCCGCGUGAGUGAUGAAGGUUUUCGGAUCGUAAAGCUCUGUUGUUAGGGAAGAACAAGUACCGUUCGAAUAGGGCGGUACCUUGACGGUACCUAACCAGAAAGCCACGGCUAACUACGUGCCAGCAGCCGCGGUAAUACGUAGGUGGCAAGCGUUGUCCGGAAUUAUUGGGCGUAAAGGGCUCGCAGGCGGUUUCUUAAGUCUGAUG